rnacentral:rRNA from 1 species
AGUGAACGCUGGCGGUAGGCCUAACACAUGCAAGUCGAACGGCAGCACAGUAAGAGCUUGCUCUUACGGGUGGCGAGUGGCGGACGGGUGAGGAAUACAUCGGAAUCUACUUUUUCGUGGGGGAUAACGUAGGGAAACUUACGCUAAUACCGCAUACAACCUACGGGUGAAAGCAGGGGAUCUUCGGACCUUGCGCGAUUGAAUGAGCCGAUGUCGGAUUAGCUAGUUGGCGGGGUAAAGGCCCACCAAGGCGACGAUCCGUAGCUGGUCUGAGAGGAUGAUCAGCCACACUGGAACUGAGACACGGUCCAGACUCCUACGGGAGGCAGCAGUGGGGAAUAUUGGACAAUGGGCGCAAGCCUGAUCCAGCCAUACCGCGUGGGUGAAGAAGGCCUUCGGGUUGUAAAGCCCUUUUGUUGGGAAAGAAAAGCAGCAGGCUAAUACCCCGCUGUUCUGACGGUACCCAAAGAAUAAGCACCGGCUAACUUCGUG